GAAUGGUAGAAAUCAUAUAAAUCUCGGUGCGCUGCCGCGAAGCGGCAUUAACCGAUUCAUCUGUAGUAGUAAUUCGAUGAUGAGGAGUAGUGAGGUGGAAUGGAGAUGGGGGGAAGAGGUGAUCUACUGGAUGCUGGAUAUUGGGGUUAUCUCGGCGUUUGGCGCGAAGCGCCACUAACCGAUUCAUCGAUUCUGUUUUGUUGUAUUCUGGGAGGUCCUACAUAUCUUUGA